UACAGAGGGGGGCAAGCGUUGUUCGGAAUUACUGGGCGUAAAGGGCGCGUAGGCGCCUUCUAAGUCGAACGUGAAAUCCCCGGGCUCAACCCGGGAACUGCGUCCGAUACUGGAAGGCUUGAAUCGGGAGAGGGAUGCGGAAUUCCAGGUGUAGCGGUGAAAUGCGUAGAUAUCUGGAGGAACACCGGUGGCGAAGGCGGCAUCCUGGACC
rnacentral:rRNA from 1 species